rnacentral:lncRNA from 1 species
AGUUGAGUUCCGGAGCUCCAAAGUCGCGCAUCAAUCGCUCGCAAACAGCAUCGUGUUUUCGCAUUCGCGUGACUUGACAGAAAUUCGUAAAAAUUGAGAAACAAUUUACAAGUGAUGAACAAAAAUAAACUUAAACUUUUAAGUUUAAUAAAACCAUCAAAUAAUACACAGUUUCGGAAAAAGAUAAUACAUUUUAAUGAAAAUCUGAAAGCAAAUAAAUUUUACAAAGUUAAUGAUUAAAAAUUAAACAAACCAAAAAACAUAAAAGACAUAAAUAAAUUCAAUUCAAAAAUUCUUCUUAAUAUCUAACUGAUAUUUAUACUACGCAGACGAAAUAAAUAAACAUUAAAUAGCUUAUUUUUGGAUGAAAUUCUUAUAUUGGAACACAAAAAGAUCAAAGUUUUCAAAAAUUUCUAAAGGGAAACUCUUGAAAUAAACUUGCUAUAAAUAUUAUAUUUUCCAUGCCUUACUGGACACAUUGGUCUAUAAAGUAAUUUAUUUUUCCUCAAAAAUAUUGUAUAUCCCUUUUUUCGAUAAAGGAAACCUAUAAUAUUUUAUUUUUCUUACUUCCUAUUUUAAAUUCUGUAGAAAAGUAAAAAGCGUAAAUACGGUUCUUAAAAUCAAAGAAAAAAGUAUAGCAUUAUUUCCUUAAAAACUUCCCAUAAAUAAAUUCUUAAACCUGAAAUAAUAUACAUAUCUAAUGAAAAAACUUUGUCCAAACUUUCCAUAGAUAUAAUUCUAAUAAAUAAUAAUAGUAAAACGCGCACAAACGCGUCCAUUUCCAGAUUAUUAAUAAUGAUUUGAAAAAUAUUUAAAUUCAAUCAAACAAAAAGUCUAUCCAGCAAAAAACGCCAACCCAAACGCCGAAAAAAAAAAACAACACUGAAAAAGCUGCCAAGCGAGAAACGACGGAGGACCAUACCAUAUAUAACCCCUAUAUAUAACCGUCGUCGUCAUCAUCAUCAUCAAGCUAGAAAUUCCCCCAGCACAAAUCCCAUGAAGAGAAUCCCAUCAGUCCGGCAACAACAACAACAACCAAGAAAUACUACAGAAUAAAACCAAAAAAAAAAAAAAAUGAAAAAAAAAAUCUGAAAAAAAGAGUUGGAAUUUUUGUAAGCUGGUAUGUGAGCUGUUGUUCGCCUCUUUUACGGUUUGAGCUCGAGUUUUGUGAAAAAGAAAAAGGGAAACGCGCUGCCAAGAUAUUUUUUACCUGGUUUUUGCCAUCAGCGAGGUAUAGAGUUCCUACGUUCAUUAUAAACUCGUAGGAACUUCAUACCGUGCUCUUGGAAGACCAAAAAACAACCAAGUGAAUGCAAAAAUCCCAAAAAGUAUGGCGAAAACAAACAAAAAGUGCGUUUUAAAACGAUGAGAAAACGCUGGACAAACGAAAAGGAAGUUGCAAAUGAUGGGAAAGUAAGAGUUACUACUAAAAAUGUUGAUCGAAAUUCAGUAGUGUGUUUGCCCAAGUUUAUUAUAGUAAUUUAUGGCAAGAUCAUAACACAAAGCUGCUCAUUAAGAGCGAAAUGCGAUGAUAUUUGGUUGGUAAGAAGUAAGGCAAUGUUAUCAUUAUUUUUAUUAAAUGUAUAUUUAAAAACUAUCUUUGCAUGAAUAAACUUGAUACUUGAUAGCUAAAAUUACAAAAAAAAAACUUUUAAUAUUCGAUCGUCAUUUUAUGCCUUUUCUAUUGGCGAUAUUAUGCUUUUAACUUAUCCAUUAAUUACAUCAGUUAGUGAAUAGGAAAUUACUUUUAAUAAAAACCGCAGAGUGCGAUUAAAAACGCUAUAAAAACGCGCGCGAAACGCAUACUACACUCCAUGCGUUUGUAGAAAAAAAUGAUCAAAAUAGAAAUAACAUUUAAACCUAACAAAAGUAUUAGAAUUAUGUUAAAACUUUUCCGCUACAAAAAGAACUUGAAAUGCAUCAGAAACUGAUCGAGAUACUGAAAACCAGCUACCGAUAAGAUAUGGAAAGGCAAUUCUGAGUGACUAAUUCCAAGUAAAGGGCGAUUGAGGUGCGGUUAAUCCGAGCCACUUAAAAGCACUUGUCAUAAAUUAACAAACGUUAUUUCUAAUCUAACUAAAUAACAAUUUCAAUUAAUUGCCACGUUAAGAUAAUGUUGGAUUUGUGGAUGCUCUGUCCCGCUCUACAUAUUUACAAACGUAUAGCCAUCUCUUUCACCGGCUAAAUGGCAUCCACUUUGAAUUUGUUAGUUGGUAAAGCAGCUAAUGGCAAUUGUUUUCUUCUUGAUUGGUGGUUUAGUACGGGGAUAACUGUUUAAACGUAAUUUAGUAAUGGAGAUUACUUGGAAAGGGUUUCAAGAAGCAUAUUUAUAGCAUGGCAUUUCUACAUGAAAAGUUUUCUACAAGAAAAGUUUUCUACUUGCUUGAAACGUAAACAUUCCAUACGAUAUUUGUGAAGAAUUUCUCGGACUUGGAUACCAAAAUACCACAAAAACCAUUGUCAAAAAUCAUUAAACACAAUAUGACUGUCGACUGUCUGGACGACAAGAUAUGGAGUACAAACGGACUGAACACAGUCGAUAGGAGAAAUGCAUGCCAUUUUUAUUUCAUUUUAUUGUACUUAUUUUUCGCUAUGCCCGAUAAGCAGCAAAAUAAAAAAUAAUAACGCAAACGGCACACACACAAUUUGCAGUGACACACCAAAGGCCACAAUGAUAAUUUUAUCAACUCGAAAAAAAAAAUGUAUAUGUAUUUAAAACGGAGGGAGAGAGAAAAAUAUAAAAAAUAUAUAUUUGCUUUAUCGUGCAAAAAUGGGAAUGAAACGAGCAAACGGCUUCCUUGUGGCUUUCGCAAUUUUCGCAGCAUAUUUGCCACUGUCAGUUUGGCCAAAAGGAUUGUUGGCCAGGCCAGCAACCAAACGGCAGCAGCAUUGCACCGCUGAUUUCAACGCUUUUAAAUUCCUUCACUUCUGCACUGCUGUUGCAGCAGUUAAUUUAAUUUCAGCUCAUAAAUCAAAACUGUGCCGCGCAACAAAAUGUUUGCUUUUGACGCGCCGUUUUUGUCGCCAGACUACCGACAUCACUGGACAUGGACGUGGGACACUGGACAAGUGGAACGGACAUGCAGGACGGCAGCUGGAGGAUCGGGAGUAGGAGCAUGCCAACAGGAUCUGGAGAGCUGACUAAGUCCGAUUCACAGCCACCUGAUGUUUGGCAAACAGCGACAGAAUGUAGCCGCAAUUGGCUGGGGAAUACUAAUGAGCCAAUUUUCUAGCUGCCACAGCAAAAUAGCGAAAAUUAAUGGCUUUGGUAAAAGUGAUAGGAAACUGUAAAAUUCGAUUAAUUAUAUCAACUAUAAAGGACUAAUACCAGAUAUAGUCAUAGUCUAGAUUAUGAUAUACAUAUAUUGUACUAUUUCUAUAAUAAAUAGAUUAUUUUCAAAAUGUUCAAGCUUAAAAUGUGUUUUGUAGUAC